CACCCUGUAAUGAUAGCCAGUUGAUCCCCCAGUGUCAUCACCCUGCCUGCUGGCUGGGCAGGGUAACUCCUCAGGUCAUCACUACCCUCUCCAGCCUGCCUUGGGCUUGGAGAGUGAGGAGAAGGGCGAGGGACGACACUGAACAUCCUCCAUCCAUCGCUCCAUCACUGAAAGCAAGAUGGCCAGGCUCCUGAGGAUGUUCCGGAAGAAGGCUCUGCAGGUGGCCCCAAAGCCUGAGGGAAGCAGCUGCCAACUUCCCCAGGAGCAGAGCAGCCCCUCUGUCCCCGCUGGUGGGGAAGGAGCUCCCGGCCGGGGCAGGAGGUGGAAGUGCCCAGCCUUCUGGCAGAGGAAACCCGCUCCUGGUGCAGGUGCCAAGGUGGGAGAGGCAGUGGCAAGGCCAGAAUGGAGCUGGGCCAGGCUGCGGCUGGGCAGGCAGGACCCGGCCCAGGAGCGGAACCGGGCAGGGUGGCUCUGGGGCUUGUUGUGUGGGCAGCAGCAGCCCCAGGAGCCCAGCCCUGAUUUCCAGCAGGAGGCAUCGCCCUGCCCGGUCCCUGAGGACCUUCCAGCCUUCCCAGGGCAGGAGGUGGAGGAUCCCUGUCCCAGCAACAGCAGAUCGGCUCGUGCCCCAUAGGACAG